rnacentral:Y_RNA from 1 species
GGCUGGUCCUCGUGCAGCGGUGUUUGCAACUAAUCGAUCACAACCCAUUACAGAUCUGUUCCUUUUCCACUCCUACUGCUUCAUUUGCCUAGCCUUUA